rnacentral:rRNA from 1 species
GAUGAACGCUGGCGGCGUGCCUAAUACAUGCAAGUCGAGCGAACAGACGAGGAGCUUGCUCCUCUGACGUUAGCGGCGAACGGGUGAGUAACACGUGGAUAACCUACCUAUAAGACUGGGAUAACUUCGGGAAACCGGAGCUAAUACCGGAUAAUAUAUUGAACCGCAUGGUUCAAUAGUGAAAGACGGUUUUGCUGUCACUUAUAGAUGGAUCCGCGCCGCAUUAGCUAGUUGGUAAGGUAACGGCUUACCAAGGCAACGAUGCGUAGCCGACCUGAGAGGGUGAUCGGCCACACUGGAACUGAGACACGGUCCAGACUCCUACGGGAGGCAGCAGUAGGGAAUCUUCCGCAAUGGGCGAAAGCCUGACGGAGCAACGCCGCGUGAGUGAUGAAGGUCUUCGGAUCGUAAAACUCUGUUAUUAGGGAAGAACAAAUGUGUAAGUAACUAUGCACGUCUUGACGGUACCUAAUCAGAAAGCCACGGCUAACUACGU